rnacentral:rRNA from 1 species
UACGUAGGGUGCGAGCGUUAAUCGGAAUUACUGGGCGUAAAGCGUGCGCAGGCGGUUUUGUAAGACAGAGGUGAAAUCCCCGGGCUUAACCUGGGAACUGCCUUUGUGACUGCAAGGCUUGAGUGCGGCAGAGGGGGAUGGAAUUCCGCGUGUAGCAGUGAAAUGCGUAGAUAUGCGGAGGAACACCGAUGGCGAAGGCGGCGAUCUGGGAAGAUACUGACGCUGAGGUGCGAAAGCGUGGGGAGCAAACAGG